rnacentral:rRNA from 1 species
UACGGAGGAUCCAAGCGUUAUCCGGAUUUAUUGGGUUUAAAGGGUGCGUAGGCGGUCUGUUAAGUUAGAGGUGAAAUCCCGGUGCUCAACACCGGAACUGCCUCUGAUACUGGCAGGCUAGAGUAUAGUUGCUGUGGGCGGAAUGUAUGGUGUAGCGGUGAAAUGCUUAGAGAUCAUACAGAACACCGAUUGCGAAGGCAGCUCACAAAGCUAUUACUGACGCUGAGGCACGAAAGCGUGGGGAGCAAAC